rnacentral:rRNA from 1 species
GACGAAGGUGGCUAGCGUUGUUCGGAAUCACUGGGCUUAAAGAGCACGUAGGCGGCCCGUUAAGCACCUUGUGAAAUCCCCCGGCUCAACUGGGGAAUUGCUUGGUGUACUGGCGGGCUUGAGGCAAGUAAGGGCGCGCGGAACUCUUGGUGGAGCGGUGAAAUGCGUAGAGAUCAAGAGGAACGCCGGAGGCGAAAGCGGCGCGCUGGGCUUGUCCUGACGCUGAGGUGCGAAAGCCAGGGGAG